rnacentral:sRNA from 1 species
UACCGUCCUCGCCAGGGGCUUUGCGCUUU